ACUGGGAAUCACAUUGAAGGCAUCGGUUCUUGUCCGGUCACUGAAGAUAAGCAAUGUCAAGCCAAGUUAGUAGUUAGGUGGGUAACCACUCAGUAAACUAGAUGCUGUCAGUA
rnacentral:rRNA from 1 species